GCCCGGUUAGCUCUUACGGUAGAGCGCGGGACUUUUAAUUCUGAAGUUAAUGGUUCAAGUCCCUUAUAGGGCU
rfam:Daphnia pulex DAPPTscaffold_122_Cont5068, whole genome shotgun sequence.